AAAAAAACCCUUUCUCUCUCCCAUAAAGCGUGCACGAGCAAUUAUUAUUAUUUCUCGGUGUUUGUUUGUUUAUUAUUCGCGCAUUUCCGGUCACGAAGGCCUCACACGCUCGUGCAUCGCAUCAGCGCGCGCGCCUUCGAAAGCCCCGAGAGCUCGUGCCCGCGUCAAUGCCUGCCUUUCCAUAUUCCACAGCCUGGCUAAGCUAGCUUAGCGUUAGCCAUGUAAACAUUAGCAAGCUUUGCUGAGUAAUUAUUGCAAAAAAAAAAAAAAGGGACGGCUAAUGAAACCGGACCGAACCGUGAGUCUGCAUCCGAACCCAGCAGUGCACGCGACAAAGCCGAUUCGGGCGCGUGCUGCAUAUUGCAUAUUGCAUGCAACCUAGAAAAAGAAACCAUCAUGGCCUUAUGGUGUGAGGCUCUUUGUGCCAGCUGCCCUGAUGAUACAGGGUUCAGCUCCUGUGAAAGGUGAACUGAGAGUGUGACAUCAUCCUCCAUCAAAUCCCAAAAUAACCCACUAGCUGAACUGCAUGCAUGUUUAUGUAACAGCAUGGUGUUUUUAUUUAUUUAUUUAUUUAUUUAUUAGUAAGGGCUUCUAGAUGCCGGGCCUCUGAUAUUUAUUUUCCAUGUGUUGGCUGACAUGCAGAUGAUUGUGCUGUGUGUUGUGUUAAAGCAUCAGGAGGGAUUUUAUUCAUUAAGCACUAGAAACUAAACACUAAACAGUAAACAGGGGCCAUUAUGCAUUAAGCACUAAGCAGUAGACUCUAAAGACUAAUGCUUAGCAUUAAACACUAAGCACUAGACACUAAGGACUGAGCACUAAGCACUAAACACUGGACUAGUUUGCAGACAAUAAGGACUAAGCACUAGACUCUAAGCACUAAACACUAAAGAUUAGUUACUAGACACUAAAGACUAAGCGACUGGACACAAAAUACUAAGCACUAGGGACUAAGCACUAGACACUAUGGACUAAGCACUAGACACUAUGGACUAGUUACUAGACAUUAAGGACUAGUUAGUAGACACUAAAUACUAAGCACUAAACACUAAGGACUAGCUACUAGACACUCAGGACUAAGCACUAGACAUGAAAUACUAAGCACUAGGCACUAUGGACUAGUUACUAGACACUAAGUACUAAGCACUAGACACUAAAUACUAAGCACUAGACACUAUGGACUAAGCACUAGACACUAUGGACUAGUUACUAGACAUUAAGGACUAGUUAGUAGACACUAAAUACUAAGCACUAAACACUAAGGACUAGCUACUAGACACUAAGGACUAAGCACUAGACAUGAAAUACUAAGCACUAGGCACUAUGGACUAGUUACUAGACACUAAGGACUAAACACUAGACACUAAAUACUAAGCACUAGACACUAAAUACUACACACUAGACACUAAGGACUAGCUUCUAGACACUUAGGACUAAGCACUAGACACUAAAAACUAA